CGAUUCGAGCGCAGCGAGAAAGCGUUGCCGCAGGCAACGACCCGAAGGGCGAAGCGCGCAGCGCUGAGUCAUCCUUCCCCCACCACCA
rnacentral:sRNA from 10 species